rnacentral:rRNA from 1 species
CAGUCGCCGCGGGAAUACGUAGGUCCCGAGCGUUGUCCGGAUUUAUUGGGCGUAAAGCGAGCGCAGGCGGUUAGAUAAGUCUGAAGUUAAAGGCUGUGGCUCAACCAUAGUUCGCUUUGGAAACUGUCAAGCUUGAGUGCAGAAGGGGAGAGAGGAAUUCCAUGUGUAGCGGUGAAAUGCGUAGAUAUAUGGAGGAACACCGGUGGCGAAAGCGGCUCUCUGGUCUGUAACUGACGCUGAGGCUCGAAAGCGUGGGGAGCGAACAGGAUUAGAUACCCGUGUAGUCCCUGUCUCUUAUACA